GACGAACGCUGGCGGCGUGCUUAACACAUGCAAGUCGAACGGUAAGGCCCUUCGGGGUACACGAGUGGCGAACGGGUGAGUAACACGUGGGUGAUCUGCCCUGCACUUCGGGAUAAGCCUGGGAAACUGGGUCUAAUACCGGAUAGGACCACUGCCUGCAUGGGUGGUGGGGGAAAGCUUUUGCGGUGUGGGAUGGGCCCGCGGCCUAUCCGCUUGUUGGUGGGGUGAUGGCCUACCAAGGCGACGACGGGUAGCCGGCCUGAGAGGGUGACCGGCCACACUGGGACUGAGAUACGGCCCAGACUCCUACGGGAGGCAGCAGUGGGGAAUAUUGCACAAUGGGCGCAAGCCUGAUGCAGCGACGCCGCGUGAGGGAUGACGGCCUUCGGGUUGUAAACCUCUUUCAGCACCGACGAAGCGCAAGUGACGGUAGGUACAGAAGAAGGACCGGCCAACUACGUGCCAGCCGCCGCCGUAA
rnacentral:rRNA from 1 species